rnacentral:rRNA from 1 species
AACGAACGCUGGCGGCAGGCUUAACACAUGCAUGUCGAACGCAUCCUUCGGGGUAAGUGGCAGACGGGUGAGUAACGCGUGGGAACGUGCCCUUCAGUUCGGGAUAACCCAGGGAAACCUGGGCUAAUACCGGAUACGUGCGAGAGCAGAAAGAUUUAUCGCUGAAGGAUCGGCCCGCGUCUGAUUAGCUAGUUGGUGGGGUAAUGGCCCACCAAGGCGACGAUCAGUAGCUGGUCUGAGAGGAUGAUCAGCCACAUUGGGACUGAGACACGGCCCAAACUCCUACGGGAGGCAGCAGUGGGGAAUAUUGGACAAUGGGCGCAAGCCUGAUCCAGCCAUGCCGCGUGAGUGAUGAAGGCCUUAGGGUUGUAAAGCUCUUUCGUCCGGGACGAUAAUGACGGUACCGGAAGAAGAAGCCCCGGCUAACUUCGUGCCAGCAGCAGCCGCCG